UGCGUAGGCGGCCUUUUAAGCGGGGAGUGAAAGCCCGGGGUUUAACUCCGGAAGGUCUCUCCGAACUGGAAGGCUCGAGUCUGGGAGAGGUGAGUGGAAUUCCUGGUGGAGCGGUGAAAUGCGUAGAUAUCAGGAGGAACACCGGUGGCGAAGGCGGCUCACUGGAACAUGACUGACGCUGAGGCACGAAAGCGUGGGGAGCAAACA
rnacentral:rRNA from 1 species